rnacentral:misc_RNA from 1 species
GAUGAAGAACGCAGCGAAAUGCGAUACGUAAUGUGAAUUGCAAAUUCAGUGAAUCAUCGAAUCUUUGAACGCACAUUGCGCCCGCCAGUAUUCUGGCGGGCAUGCCUGUUCGAGCGUCAUUUCAACCAUCAAGCCCCAGGCUUGUGUUGGGGACCUGCGGCUGCCGCAGGCCCUGAAAACCAGUGGCGGGCUCGCUGUCACACCGGGCGUAGUAGAUUUUAUCUCGCUCAGGGCGUGCUGCGGGUUCCGGCCGUUAAAAAGCCUUUUUUACCCAAGGUUGACCUCGGAUCAGGUAGGAAGACCCGCUGAACUUAAGCAUAUCAAUAAGCGGAGGA